GGUGAUUCUGGGACUCCCCGACCUGCGCGGGGAGUCGGUGCCUGGGGCUGCCUGGUCAGUCCUGGACCCCUCCAGGAGGCGUCAGCUGUGAUGUGACCGGGGACCUCCUGGGGCCUCCCGAACAUAAGAUCUCUUUACAAGCGCUCUGCUGGGAUCAGUGCAACCAUCAGUCCAUUCCCUGUGGGUGUGUCUGCAUCGUUGACCAUCUCCAUAGGAUUUCCCGGAGGUUUCUGAUGCUGAGAAAGAUCACAGUGAUGCAGCUUCUCCUCUCCGGGGUGUUUCCUGCUCUGCUGUGACAGCCUCACGUGGUGCAGUGAGUAGGCAGCUAGCCUCAUGAAAAGCUGGGUUCUCACCAACCUUACCCACACUUGGCUCUUACCUGCCUAGUCCCUCUUGCUGUCAUCCCCUGCACACUUUAUCAUCAUUCAGAAGCGACAUCAGAGGGUGAUGUAUCAGCAACACAUAUUAUGACAACUAAGGAAUUGAAGCUUUCUGCACACCCAGAGCAGGUGUCUGCGGGAUGGGAAAAGAAGGGCAAGGCUACUAUGAUUUCUUUAAUAACAGGGCAAGUGGACCCCAGUCUGGAUCUGUUCUCCCCUUGUGUUCUAGCUAACCGGGGUCUUGAGUCUCUCCUGAGGCUGGGUUGUGGCCUAGCAGCACGUGUCAAUAGCUGCCGUUCUAACCUUCAGAACUGUUGCUGGCGAGUUCCAGCCUUCUCUUUCCUGUUUCUUUUGCUUAAUUUUUGUUUUAGUUAUUUCAGAUUCGUUCCUGACCUACUCCUUACCUCUCUAGAUACAACUGUUCUCUCACUUUCUUGGCCUGGCACCAUCUGACAGCUCGGUACCAUCCAUCCUCACACCGAUCGGAUGUUCAUUUUCCAUGCGGAUUGGCAAUGAAGACAUUAGGAGGAACCCCGAUGGUGACCCUUUGAGGAGCUAAGGCUCCACCGACUCUCCUUCUUAAUGAUGGUGUUUUAGCCAAUCGUCACCAUUAUAAUGUUCACCCCACUUCCUAAGUGCUUCCCCUAACACUGCCCAAAAUAAUGAAAUCUGCGUGGCCUCCAUUACCUACUAAAUCUAUGGUUUCCUUGUAGAAAAAUCGUUUUUGGACUGGAAUGGUUAAUUGGCUUUCAAAGCCAUACUGCUCUUUCGCUCAUUGGGAGGCUUUGGGCAUUUCUGCUGCCUCUUAUUUUCCUUCAUUCCCAAUCCCCACCCACAGGCCCCCAAGUACUCAUCCCUCCCCAGUCAAUUAUCAUCUCUGCUAUUUUUGGGGUUUUUUUGUACCAUGGAUAUUUUAUUAUACCGCUUCCCAUAGUAUUUUUGAUUUUAAAGAAACUCUGCAUAGCCGAGGAGAUAGCCACUGUCCUUCGGUAAUGGUGAUACUUCCACUUCCUUUGCAGGUGGGGCUGCCUCUGAUUCCAAAUCAAAACCUUGCACCUCCUCUCUGGAAUUAUUCUGUCCCCUUUUGCCCUUAUACCAGUUGUCAACCACUUUUUCGUGACCCCUUUACUUCUUGUGAAGAUCAAAGUCAAGUCUUUAGUGUGCUUUUUCCUUGUGUCCCAGAGCUGUCAUGCCAUCCUCUGAUUCCAGAGUUUCUGCGUGGCAUGAAAAAUCCUCACCAUGAAUCAAUGAUCUUCACGUAUUGAAAAUAUUCCCUCUGUGAGGACCCCAUGGGGAUGAGGAGGGAGCUGGGGAAGAGUAAGAAGGGGAAAGUAUAGCUUUUAGGUUUCCUACUGUGCGACCUCAAUUCACCGCAGCAGGAUGCAGAAUGCAACUCCAGCAGGAUGGCCCAGAGUAACUUAGAAAAUGCCCAAAAAGAGAAAUUAGUGACGAGAGCUAGAGAUCACACAACAUGGGAGCAAUAGGUGCAUCAAAAUUUGUAUAAUACUGAUGUCUUUUCAUGAUUAGACUAGGGUUAAGAUUUAUCAUUCUGCCAACCCAUAUCACAGGAGUAAUUGUCCGCCUGUGUUUACCAGGUGCCCGUGUUGGGGUGUCCCGUUAACAUUUAUGUCAGCUACGUUCAUUCGGUUCUGCCACUUUCUUCCACCACCGAGUUAAUAAAUUUCAAGUGAUCAUUAAUAAGGGUGAUGGAGAGAUUUACCGAGCGAUGUACAUAAACCAUCACAUUUAAUCUGAAAAAUCCCUCCUUUGGUUCUGUUUCUUCUUUGACUUGGAAAAUGAAGGCUGUCACCUUUGGAGAUGUUGGCUUCUGCAGGUGGAAAUUACCAGGCCUCAGUCUUGUAAGUGUCCAUUACAUUAUACAUCACAGGCAUUUUUAUUUUACACAUUUAUUCCUUCAAAAAAGAAAAAUUAUAUAACUUAUCUCUGCAGGAGUGUUUAAAAAACAACAAGAACAACAACAAACUGUUAAAGAUUCCAGACUCAGCAGCAGCCCCUCUCAUUUAGUUGAUAUAACUGUGGCUUUCCCGAGGGGGUGUCUAAGAAAUACAAACCAUACCACUCACAAAUAGAAUUAUCAGUUUCACAAAUUAAAAAUACCUGAUUUCCUGGACAAGAAAAUUAUGCCACUUUUUACACGUGUGAGGUCCCACACCCGUAUGUGUGCAUGUGUAUUAGAGACUAACAGUAUUUUCCUCAUUCUGUGUUCUUGUUCCCAUUAUUAUUCUCCUUUACAGGCCAUGCCGUGAAUAAAUUAGAGUCUCCAGGACAUUUAGUUUUAGUCUAAAUCAGGACUCAGCCAGUUAGAAAUGCUAACGUGUUCUCCUCUGGCCACUCCCCAAAAGCCUUUGCCUUUAGUGUCCAGGGCACUCAGAGGGAGAGUAGAGGACAUUUAUGUGAAUCCAUCAACUAUGUCUUCCUUUAUGUCUAUCCCAUCUGUGUAAUGGGGAAGGGUGUAUUUUUUUUUCUGGUUGAAAAGAAGCUGUAAGUAAGUAAGUCUGAAAUUAUUCUGUUGCAGAAAAAGUCUCAGGCAGGAGACGGGACGGUGUGGUGGGGGUUACUUCAGGGCACAACCAGAGGAUGUGUUCCUUCAGGUAUUGGGUGGAGACUAUACAGUUUGAUUAAAAAAAAAUCGGAAGCCUGACUGGUCUGAAUAAGGUUAAACAGAUUCCCUUAGAAUCUUUUAAUCCUUUCUGAUACCUGCUUGAUUCUGGCCUGAGUUUGGUUGUGUUUUGGAACAUCCAACCUCAACCCUUAAUAGCUAACUCACUGGCUUUUUUGUUUGCUCAUUUAAUAUCACAAUAUUUGCAUUCCAAAUCAUCAGGGUCAGAUUGGAUUUGCACAGUGUCAGGUGACAAAGCAAAGUCUUGUAGAAUCUUUAUGGUCUUUUAUAAAAACAAAUUCCUCCUAAGGGAAAAGGUUUAUGUACCUUCAGAUGGAGCCAUUUCUCCUUUUGCUCAUUUCUCCUUUCAAUUCCCUGACUGGCUUUCUGUUUUAGGCUAAUGGAGCCCCUCAUGCCGGAGUUGAUGAAGCUCAGGUUGAACGAGGCAGGCAGGUAGAUACAACUUACAGAACUCUUGUGUUUGGAAAGCCACAGGGAGCCCAGAAUUGGCAGUUUGUGUCAUCUUCUUAUUUUUGUUUGUUUUAAGGUAAAGUAUACACAACUUUCGAGUAAACAGAAUGGAUUUCCAAACAGAAAAGUGAACAGGAGCAUAGGUUCAGGCUCUAAAGCCAAGCUCCCUCACUAAAGUAAAAUGAGGUGACCUUGACAUUAACACUCCAAAUGCUGCUGCUCUGCCCACCUGCACCUGUUUGAUUAGCAGCAAGCCCAGAUUUUCAUCCUUAAAUGAAGUUUCUCAUCACCACAGCAUUAUUCUUAAGACUUCCAAAUAAAACUUACCAGUAACUUUUCACCAGCCCCUGAGCAAGGAGAAAAUUUCAGCUACAACUUUUUUCAUGAGCUUCAGUUGAGUGGUUCUGAUAAUAAAAGGGAGUUGUGUACAUCACAAAAUUUGGACAAGUACUAAACAAACAUAAUGAACUAGAGCCAGCUGACUUUUCCAGCCAAAGAUGAAUACUUUCUGAAUUAGCUUAUUUUUCCCCUAUUACUUUCCAGUAUUUUUAAUUGUGAAAGAUUACACUUGCGUAUAAGGGCAGAUAGUAAUGAUGUAGAGCUUGAGAAGGACAAAAUGAAGGGCCAUUAACUAGGUCAAGAAAGAUAAAAGCACAUCAUAUCUAAUCUUCCCCCUCCAUAAGUAAGCACCAAUAUGACUUUCAAGAAAAUCGUUUCCCUUUCACUUCAUUAUAUCACUUAUCACUAAAUGUGUAAUUGAAGUAUGAUUUUAAUUUCGUCUGGUAUUUAAAAGUGAAAUAAACCACAUUAUGCUUACAUUUUGACGGAACAACAACAUUUAGGCAAGAUUAAUCCACAUUAUUGGAUGCAGCUAGAGCCUACUUAUUUAACUGCUGCAUAAUAUUCCACCUGGUGCAAAGUAAUUUUCCAUUCUUCAUACACAUAAGGGCUAAAGAGAGUAGCGCUCAUUAAUAUUUUGCACCUGUGGUGGAAUGACACUAUCUCUGGGAUUUUAUAUUCUACUUUAAUCAUUUAACAUUGUGACAUAAGUACUUGCCAUGUCAUUAACAGCUAUUAGGAAUUAUUGUAGCUAACGGCUGCAUUUCAUUUAUGACAGUUCUGUAAUUUAUUUUACCAUUCCCUGGGGUUUUCGUUUAGCUGAUUUCCAAUUAUUUGUUACUACAAAGAAAGUGCUGGUGAGCAUUUUUGCGCAUAAAGCUUUUUAUCUGCAUUUGAGAGCAUUUCCUUAGGUCAUUUCCC